rnacentral:rRNA from 1 species
AGAGUUUGAUCAUGGCUCAGAAUCAACGCUGGCGGCGUGCCUAACACAUGCAAGUCGCACGAGAAAGGGUAGCAAUACCUGAGUAAAGUGGCGCACGGGUGAGUAACACGUGAAUGAUCUACCUCCGAGUGGGGAAUAACUGAGAGAAAUCUUAGCUAAUACCGCAUAACACUUACGAGUCAAAGCAGCAAUGCGCUUGGAGAGGAGUUCGCGGCCGAUUAGUUAGUUGGCGGGGUAAUGGCCCACCAAGACGAUGAUCGGUAUCCGGCCUGAGAGGGCGCACGGACACACUGGAACUGAAACACGGUCCAGACUCCUACGGGAGGCAGCAGUGGGGAAUUUUGCGCAAUGGGGGAAACCCUGACGCAGCAACGCCGCGUGGAGGAUGAAAUAUCUUGGUAUGUAAACUCCUUUCGAUGGGGAAGAUUAUGACGGUACCCAUAGAAGAAGCCCCGGCUAACUUCGUGCCAGCAGCCGCGGUAAUACGAGGGGGGCAAGCGUUGUUCGGAUUUAUUGGGCGUAAAGGGUGCGUAGGCGGUUUGGCAAGUCUGAUGUGAAAUCUAUGGGCUCAACCCAUAGUCUGCAUCAGAAACUGCCGGGCUUGAGUAUGGGAGAGGUGAGUGGAAUUUCCGGUGUAGCGGUGAAAUGCGUAGAUAUCGGAAGGAACACCUGUGGCGAAAGCGGCUCACUGGACCAUAACUGACGCUGAUGCACGAAAGCUAGGGGAGCAAACAGGAUUAGAUACCCUAGUAGUCC